rnacentral:rRNA from 1 species
UGCUGCAUGGCUGUCGUCAGCUCGUGUCGUGAGAUGUUGGGUUAAGUCCGCAACGAGCGCAACCCUUGCCAUUAAUUGCCAUCAUUUAGUUGGGCACUUUAAUGGGACUGCCGGUGACAAACCGGAGGAAGGUGGGGAUGACGUCAAGUCCUCAUGGCCCUUAUGGGUAGGGCUUCACACGUCAUACAAUGGUCGGUACAGAGGGUUGCCAAGCCGCGAGGUGGAGCAAAUCCUAAAAAGCCGGCCUCAGUUCGGAUUGCAGGCUGCAAUUCGCCUGCAUGAAGUCGGAAUCGCUAGUAAUCGCAGGUCAGCAUACUGCGGUGAAUACGUUCCCGGGCCUU